CUUAUUUUUCUUGGGAUCAGCUUUAAAUGUUGUACCUUCAGGACAAAAUAAAGAAGCAGAUUGCAGAGAGUAUUCAGUAUGUUAUGCUUCCAGUUCUGGUACAUGUUAAUGUUACUGCUCCAUUAAGCUAAUUACCGAAGGGGGUAGUGUUAGCAAAACUGCUUCGGCAUGGUUACUUCAUUUAAUUUGGUAGCAUCUUCUAACUAUUACUGUAUACUAAGCAAUUGUGUUUUCAUUCAGAGUACUGUAGAUACCGGUUCUUUAAUUUUAUCUAGAGUAGUAUAUACAAGUUAAUACUUAGUUUAUUUCGCAGUCAGUUAACAUGCUAAAAAAAAUCAUCCGCUUGAUCCGUUUUUGUGCGUAUUGAAUUAAUGUGAGCUUUGGACCCAAGUUCAGAUGAUAUGUAUGACUCCUGAAGGUAUUUAUUUUUUGACAACCUUCAUCAUGUUUUCUCUAUUCUUUGAUUUAUAGGUUAUAUUACAUUGAAAAUCAUAUCAAGAGAAGCAUCAACGUAUAUUUCUUCAGUUCAAAGUUGGGCUAUCUCUUAUUUCAGGUUAUCAAAAGACAAAAGGCUAAUGUAUGUAAUCUAGAGACAAUUGGAUUUAGGGGGGAAAAGGCUAAAUUAUUCACUAUAUUUUCCAUUUGUACCGAUGGGAUUCUGAUUAUAUCUUUACUUGCAAGCGAAGGCAUGUCAGGUACGGUUGUAUGCACUUAUUCAGAUAUCCUUUCUGUUUGUAAAAUAUUAUAUUAUUCAGUGAAUUGGAUGCUUAUUUUCUGAAUUUCUGCUUCUGUUCACUGGCCUAUACAUCUAGAUAGACCAGGGAUUUGGUGCUACCUCUUUUGAGUAUAUGUACAGUACAGAGUCUAAUGCUUAUAUAUCAACUAUGUGUUAGCUUGGUUGUUCAGACUCUUUGGUAUGCUUCCCAAUUGAUGUCGUUUGGUCUUCAUUAUCCAUGCCUAAUUCCCCAAAGUUUAGAUGUUUCUACCUUUCGAUGUGUUGUUUUUGGUAUGUGCAAAUUAUAGUGGUUGGUGUAUUCAGGACGGAGCAUCAAUUCUCAUUUCCGCACCAUUUGUUCACACAAAACAAUUUCAAUCGGAGCUUGAUUAUAGUGUAUUAUGCUCAUAUUAUGAGAUUUGGUAAAUUGCAGGUAUAUAAAGCGACAAGGAGAUAGAGAGGGUCUCAACGCUGGACCUAGAGUCAGGAGGCUCUUCCACUUCCAGCAGGGGUGUCCCAGACCGCGAGGGUUACGUCGACAAUGCAAGUGCAUGGUGGUACGUUGCCGUGGAUGUUCCCAGGCUGACAAGGAGCACAACGUACUCAAAAGAACUGUGUGUGUGUGCUUCCAACUGCAGUAACUCCACCAUGAAGUUGAGGCCAUUACUCUUGGCUAGAUGUAGAAACUGAAGCUGGCCUUUUGAGAAAGACUUUAUUCAGUUCUAUGACUCGGGGAUUCAGGUACAUGUGAAGGGGAAAUCUGAAGCUAUAACACUUAAGAAGUCUCAGGUAUGGUACAGAUGCUUAUGUAAUUUGUAAUCUUCUUUUAGUACAUGGAAAGUGUUUCGACCUUUGUUACAUCUCCGUGCAUGAGAAGUUGGUUCUUUAUCUUGAAGCUCUAUGGUUGUCAGAUGAAUAUUAGCAAGCUGCAUCCUCCGUAGAUGGGUAGUUAGUAAGACCCAAUUGUUAACAAGUACGAUUUAAAUAUUCUUUAUAUGAUCACAUAAAAAAGGAAAUUUAAAUGGGUAGUCAGUACACUUUUAUGACCUAACUGUUAAUAAGAUAUUAUUCCAUUAUUUUGUAGUGUGCAUGUUUGUCUUGAGAUCUAGAGCACUUCUCCGGCUUGAACCCCAUGGGAGGUUGGUCCAACCGUCAAUGUCUGCCCUUUCAUCCCGCCGCCGCCCCUGAAUCAGCGAGUGGCAGGCUUAAGCACCCGACUUCUGUCGGCUAUAAGGACCUGCAGCAGCAGGAUGCGCUGAAGCCCCGCCUGACAACUGCUCACGACCCAUUCCCGCCGCGAAAACUGCCUGCGGAUCAGGCGUCCCCUCCUAAGUUUUUUUUUUCUGCAAAUGGAAAGUGCAUCAUUAAUUCAUUAUGUUUGUUCUCAACCCAGUUAGCCGAUUCGUGUGCAUAUGAUUUCCAAGCCCAUAUCAGCAUGACACCAAAGGUUCUGUUGUACAACUUAAGAGUUGUGUUCUUUUCUAUGGGAUGUAGCAUAUGAGUAUUGCUCCCAAGAAGUGUUUGCGCAGUAAUACAAUAUGAACUGUAUGUAAUUUUGUACUAUGAUGUACCCUUAUUUUUCUUGAAGCAUAGACCUGUAUGUAAUUUUGUCCACUGUUGUACCAUCAUUUUUCUUAAAGAGCAUGUAAGCUCAGUACACACCUUUGAUCUUUGAAAUUGAAUCAAUGUUGUCUGUCA